CAGAGUCAUAAACUUUAGUUGAUUGAAUCACUUCUGUCAACUUGUGAGUGCAUAUCCGCUGGCACCCGGAUUUCAAGCGAUAAUGUGAGAACUGUUAAAAUAAUCGACUCAAUUAGCUAUUGCAUAAGCAUUUGCCACACCCCCACGCCGGCCAACCAAACAAACUCAAAACUCAAUUAGAUGCCAUAACUAAAUAAUCACAAACACAUUUACGCCAACGAGAGCUCUUUCGGUUGAAGCCUGGUUGCCGACCAAGAAACGUGGCUGAGCGAGGGGGCCAACAAAAAAUACGGCAAACCGGGUCAACAACAGCAACAACAUGAGCAACAAUUUUGAAACAAUGAAAUGACGACAACGACAGGAGCGGCAAAGCAUGCCUGGAAAAUUGCUCGAAAUGCUCAAAAGCCAGGGAGGAUAAAGGGGCGCCUCGGAAAAGUGGGUUUCCACCAGGAGGAGGAAAUUCCAGCAUGUGACGCACGUGACAAAACUUGUCAAGUGACUUUACUUCACUUUGAGUGCGAAUCCCGGCUCUGUUGUCCGUAAACAAGAAGACGGAAUCCCGGCUGAGAAGAAAAAUAGGUUUGUGUGCAUUGCACCACACAAAAUGCUUAAGAAAACUCUGCUCUCGGUAAAACAAUAAAAGCGAGGCAAAAGGAAAAAUCAGUCGCGGGCUUUUCCAACUUGUUGCGCCUUUUGGCUAAACUAUGACAUCAAAAGUUAGAGGGAUGAAGGACCUACAAAGUCCUACAGCGACACACUGUAGUAUUAAAAGAUGAGCAAUGAAGUUUAAUUCCAUUGGAUUAACGGACAGCCGAGAGCAGCUUUAAAAUAUUAAUGUACAUAACAGGAAAAUUAUGCCGCAAAUUUAUUAUUAUUUAAAGGAGUAUAUUUGGGCUUAUCAAAAAGUAUGCCAGUCAGAAGGCCAUGAAAUUAAAGUUAAAAAUUUAAACCUAGCUUCCCAAGUGAGUAAGUAAGGCUCAUUCUCGUUUGGGUUCUCUUACAGAAAACAUCUUUUUGGACGACUACCAAAUUUUUUUUUGGGCUAAAAAUCCUAUUUCCGUAAACAGGCUAAUACAAAGAUGUGCAACCCAGGAAUGUGUACGAUGCCCGGCACUUGCUGUGGACCGACUGGCGGACUGGGACCCUGUUUGCUGUGCGGACCGUAUAAUGGCCAGUGGUUCCGCUCGAUCAACCACUGCUGUGGUCCUUGUGGUCCAUACGGCAGCUGUUCGUGCUACGGGCCCUACGGAGGACAUUGUUAGCCUGCUUAGAAGGAAAAUAGGUUUUAUCAAUCCGCCAUCCCGAAAUGGAGCUCAAAACAGUGCAUCAUUGAAGCCUCAUUGAAAAUCAAGAUCCAUUUGGAAACGCUAGCUAGCAAAGUUGGACCAAAACUUGGUGUGUGCCGAAAAUUGUUGAGAUAAAUCACGUUGAGGAUCUGAACUGGAACUUCCCGUUUUAACCAACAGCAAUAAAUGUUAAUAAAUUUUGAGUAUA